UCUAUCAACAUGCUGCUCUCUAUACUUUCUCUCCUAGCACUGCUUUUAGGGGAAACAUCAGCGCAGACAAUUGAGCCUCUUGUAAGAGAAGUGCAUGUUUCAGAGGGUGAUCAUGUUACUCUGUCCUGCAACUACAGUAGCACUACUUACCCUCUUCAGUGGUAUCGUCAGUUUCCCAGAUCCAAACCAGAGUUUCUCCUUUACAUUUACCCGCAAGGGGGUACGAGCCAAUCUGUUCCUCCUCGUAUGUCUGCUGAAGUUGAAGGAAAUAAGCGUGUGGAUCUGAUAAUCUCCUCUGCUGCAGUAUCAGACUCUGCACUCUACUACUGUGCCCUG